rnacentral:tRNA from 2 species
CGGGGUUUUACGGGAAAAAGUCACAAUAACACAAUACCCUAAAUUCUGCUUUGGGAGCAGGAGGCCGCUGGUUCGAAUCCAGCUGCCCCGA